UGCAGGCAGGGGAAGCGACAGGCAAGUUUCUCGCCUCUGCGGAGAAACUUGCACCUGCGUGCCGCCGCAGGGCCGGGUUCGGAUGUGCCCUGGCAUUGCACACGCACCACACCCCCCCGCGGGGAGGGUGUGCGCUGCCUCGGGGACCCUGUGUGUGCUGCCGGGAGAGAGAAAUCCUUUGGGAAGCUGGGCUGGAAACAGCAACUCUGUGAACUGCUCAGCUUUUCCUAGGUGACGAAGCUUAUGGAAAAAAAGACCAAAGGCCUCGAGGGAUGUUCUUCUUGACCCCCCGGGGCAAACGGAGGCGUUCACCCGGUCAGCGUCAGGAACCAUCCUAACUGAGGCCUCGGUGUCUUUUACUCCGUGUUCCCAGGCUCCCUCUUUCCCUUCGGUCGCCGUGGGUGUGCCGGACGCCUCUGGCAGGACUAACCGCGUGGCUUUUAUGUCCAACGUGCUGUGCUGCGUGUGCCUGCAGCAUCCUGUCCAAGACCAAGCUACCUUUCUUUCCUCGUGGGAAUGGACCGGCCGGGCUUUGGCAAUCUGGCCCCUCGAAAGACUAAAGUGACCUCUUCCAGCAGGGGAAGACUGAAGCAAGGGGUGCCAGGAAGAACUGGAGUCUCUGGAGAAUAAAAGCUGGAAGCGUGCCCCCGAAAAUCCCCAGCCCCGGGUGGUCAGUGGUCUGACUUGCACGGACCGGUGGCCUUGGCCAGGAGCGGUCCUGUGGGAAGCGCCUUUGCCCAGGCUGUAAUUUUGAUUUUCUCUUGGAUGCUUGGCAAAGCCCCUCUGGGGGAGCCCCGGUGCCUGGCAGGAGCGGAGCGGGCUUGCAGGGAGGCGUUCACCCGGUCAGCGUCAGGAACCAUCCUAACUGAGGCCUCGGCUCCCUCUUUCCCUUCGGUCGACGUGGACACUGUGCCGGACGCCUCUGGCAGGACUAACCGCGUGGCUUUUAUGUCCAACGUGCUGUGCUGCGUGUGCCUGCAGGACCUGGGUGAAAAGGACAUUCUCUGAGGUGCUGGGAGAAGGAGGACUCGUGCGGGCACCUCCAGAGACAGCGGGAACGGGAGCGUGCUGCGGAGAAGGAAAAUUCCAGGGGGUGGGUGCCGAGAAAUUUGUCCUUCCCUUGCCCUGUGCUCUGCACUUAGCAAUGGGUCAAGUGCAGAAGUUUCCUGGGGACCCUGGGAAAUGAGGCCGGGUCUGCUAAGAAAAGUGGGGCCAAAGGAGCAGGACCUGGGUCUGCGAGCGUGGGAGAAACAAGGGCCGGGUCAUCCUCUGCCUCCAGGAGGGAGGGCAGCAGGAAAGGCCACGGACUAAAGCACUGAAGUGCCGUUCCCCAGGGAGCCCCUGCCCAGCACUGAACUUGCUUGUGCACUUGCUGUCCCUUUCCCAGCGGAGCCGAAGCGUCGGGUGCGGGUGCCGGGGGGAUGGAGCUGCCAAGGACAAACUGGGAGGGUGUUUGCGAAGGAAGGGGGUAGAAGGAGCUCUUGACGUGCUUUUUUUACUUCUU